GUAGUGUAUUGGUUUCAUAUCAGCAUAGCUUCCCAAUUCAUAUAUGGAGUUCAGCAUAUCAGGAAAUAAGUGACCUUUCCCAAAUAAUGCACAAAUGUGUCAGAGCCACAAGAGGUUGAUGAAGAUGGUGAUAAGGGAAAGGGAUAGAGUGGGCGCUAUGCGGAAGCGACGACAGCCUACUACCUAAAUGCUUCAAGGCAUCGUGUUCUAUUCGAGUAGCAAGUACAUUGACUUUCACACGUCUAGCCCCUUACCUGCAGGUAGUUGUUAGCUCCGGCAGCUCCAAAUACUCCUAGAAGUUUCAAGACCACCAAGUACUCCUGCGGAGUCAUUAAUGCUCUUGGACACCGUUAUUUCACCAAGAACAUGAUCAUUGGGACAUGCCAAGCUGAUUGUAAAUUAUUGUAUUUUUUGUGAUACGAUGUAAUUGUAAAUUAUUUUAUUUUUGUGCAUAAAUAAUUGAUUGAUCGGCCUAUCUUAGAAACA